rnacentral:rRNA from 1 species
GACGAACGCUGGCGGCGCGCCUAACACAUGCAAGUCGAACGAGCGAGAGAGAGCUUGCUUUCUCGAGCGAGUGGCGAACGGGUGAGUAACGCGUGAGGAACCUGCCUCAAAGAGGGGGACAACAGUUGGAAACGACUGCUAAUACCGCAUAAGCCCACGACCCGGCAUCGGGUUGAGGGAAAAGGAGCAAUCCGCUUUGAGAUGGCCUCGCGUCCGAUUAGCUAGUUGGUGAGGUAAUGGCCCACCAAGGCGACGAUCGGUAGCCGGACUGAGAGGUUGAACGGCCACAUUGGGACUGAGACACGGCCCAGACUCCUACGGGAGGCAGCAGUGGGGAAUAUUGCACAAUGGGGGAAACCCUGAUGCAGCGACGCCGCGUGGAGGAAGAAGGUCUUCGGAUUGUAAACUCCUGUUGUUGGGGAAGAUAAUGACGGUACCCAACAAGGAAGUGACGGCUAACUACGUGCCAGCAGCCGCGGUAAAACGUAGGUCACAAGCGUUGUCCGGAA